AGAGUUUGAUCAUGGCUCAGAUUGAACGCUGGCGGAAUGCUUUACACAUGCAAGUCGAACGGCAGCACGGGUGCUUGCACCUGGUGGCGAGUGGCGAACGGGUGAGUAAUGCGUCGGAACGUACCGAGUAAUGGGGGAUAACGCGGCGAAAGUCGCGCUAAUACCGCAUACGCCCUGAGGGGGAAAGUGGGGGAUCGCAAGACCUCACGUUAUUCGAGCGGCCGACGUCUGAUUAGCUAGUUGGUGGGGUAAAGGCCUACCAAGGCGACGAUCAGUAGCGGGUCUGAGAGGAUGAUCCGUCACACUGGGACUGAGACACGGCCCAGACUCCUACGGGAGGCAGCAGUGGGGAAUUUUGGACAAUGGGGGCAACCCUGAUCCAGCCAUUCCGCGUGAGUGAAGAAGGCCUUCGGGUUGUAAAGCUCUUUCAGCUGGAACGAAACGGUACGCUCUAACAUAGCGUGCUAAUGACGGUACCGGCAGAAGAAGCACCGGCUAACUACGUGCCAGCAGCCGCGGUAAUACGUAGGGUGCGAGCGUUAAUCGGAAUUACUGGGCGUAAAGCGUGCGCAGGCGGAUUGUUAAGCAAGACGUGAAAGCCCCGGGCUUAACCUGGGAAUGGCGUUUUGAACUGGCAGUCUAGAGUGCGUCAGAGGGGGGUGGAAUUCCACGUGUAGCAGUGAAAUGCGUAGAGAUGUGGAGGAACACCAAUGGCGAAGGCAGCCCCCCGGGAUGACACUGACGCUCAUGUACGAAAGCGUGGGUAGCAAACAGGAUUAGAUACCCUGGUAGUCCACGCCCUAAACGAUGUCAACUGGUUGUUGGGGGGAGUGAAAUCCCUUAGUAACGAAGCUAACGCGUGAAGUUGACCGCCUGGGGGGUACGGUCGCAAGAUUAAAACUCAAA
rnacentral:rRNA from 1 species